UAGCCCUUUGCAAGGUGGAGAAUACGGAAACGCUCUCACGGCUACUAACACAGCCGAGGACACCUAAACAGGGGGCUUUC
rnacentral:ncRNA from 1 species